rnacentral:rRNA from 1 species
UACGUAGGGGGCAAGCGUUGUUCGGAAUUACUGGGCGUAAAGGGCGCGUAGGCGGCACGGCAAGUCAGGAGUGAAAGCCCGGGGCUCAACCCCGGAAUGUCUUUUGAAACUGCCGAGCUAGAGUGCGGAAGAGGCAACUGGAAUUCCCAGUGUAGCGGUGAAAUGCGUAGAUAUCAGGAGGAACACCGAUGGCGAAGGCAGGUCUCUGGGCCACUACUGACGCUGAGAAGCG